GAUUAAUUGUCCUAACUGUCAGGAAAUUUCUCCUUAGUUCCAGGUUGUUUCUCUCCUUGGUUAGUUUCCAUCCGUUGCUUCUUGUCCUGCCUUCAGGUCCAGUUUUUUUAUGGUAAGAUCAUCUGUUCGAUGGUCUGUAGUUUCCCCAGCUUAAAUCUCAAAGGAGAUUUUCCUGAAGGAACUAUUCCCAGCAGCCCUUCAUAGUGAAAAGUAUAAGCCGCCAGAGAGGCUGCAGAUUAAUGGAGAGAUGUUAACAGUUAGCCAGCCACCAGAAACUCCCAAGUGUAAGUCAGCCCAAAACACCACCAUGAGAAAUUGGAAAGAAAUUAUCUAGACUAGAGCCCUGAAUAUAAGACAGAAAAACAUAGAAAACACAUAGAAAAAGCCUGCAGGGAAGAAAACUUUUGUUACAUUUACAUGCCAGAUUUGGGGACAUUAAUUCCCCUCAAAGCAUUAACUCGAAGAAAAGAAUGAUGGAAGACCUUGAAAGCAAAAUCCUUUGCAAUAUACAGCCCCCCCCCCCCCAGCUACUCUGCACUGAACGCAGAAGGCAUGAAGUGGAGCCCUUUUGCAGGUAUCUUCUCUUGAGUUGCUUUGGCUGGCUACAUGUUCCUUGUUCCUCAGCCUGGGCCUGGGAUGGGUAGCUGUAAGUGUGACUCAGGGCCAGUUGGAGGUUUUCCAUCAAGAGGUCACAAAGACCUGUUUGACAGGUUCCUAUUUUUUUUUUUUUUUGUUGUUACACAUUAGCAUGGUGCACCUGAGAAAGAACAGAGGUGUCAGGAAUCUGUUGUCACUGCAAAGGGAAAAAAGUUUUUUUUUUUUAAAUAAAUAAAUGGUUUGUUAACAUUACACAAUUCAGUCCCCCUUUUUUGUGUCUGCUUGAAUAGAGAGACUGUCAAUAAGACCAGCUGCCACUCCUGGGUCCCCUCUUGGCAACUGGCAAAUCCAAACACCUUUGCAGUACAACAAAGAAACAUACAGAAAGCAAGGACUGUAGCUCUCCUUUGGCAGGAUACAGUGCAAAAUUCCCUGUUCCUGUUCUUCACUGAAAUAACUCGGGAGCCAUAUGAAUGGCUUCGUUUUAGCUCUUCAUGGGAUGCUAACUCAGAUAGAACGGUUUAAUCCAUAAAACUGGGUAUGAAUGGAACUGUGAAUAAUUAGAACAGUGUGCAAACCUGGGCAUGAAGAUUUCAGCCACCAUUUUUCAGCUUGCCUGAGGGCAGCAUUAAAAUGCCCAUCUGGCUACCAUCAUAACUUCAGGCUGAGGAUGAUGGGGAGGAUAAUCCAACACAUCCCAAAUGGCAAUGGGCCAUGGCAGAUCUUGUGAAGCUACAUUUUCAAAGCCUCUUCAUAUUAUACUUCUGAUGUGAGACUUCACAUAUCUUGUUUGUUUGCCUAGGAAACUAAGCCGUCCAUUUUUCUCACCCCUAUAAUGUUUUGAUUCAGAAUAUGUUUUCCAAAGGUUCUAGUGCUGGAUGUGAUGCACAAAAUCUUCUCUUAAAAACAGUAGCCGGGAAUGGGUCACUUAUUUCUGUCUUGAUGUUCUUUAUUUAACAGAUAAUGUUGCUAGAUUCCAGGCAGGAUUUGUUUAAUUUUAAUUUUAAUCUUGUAUUUUAUUUUUUAAAUGUUAUGUGAUAUAAUAUGCCUUAUUUCAACUGUGAUGCUUCUGACACAAAUAACAAAACUUAACAAAUCAAAUUCAAAUUUAUUUAUGACAGCCCUGAUAGAAAUAAAAUAUUGAAUAAAAGACGUGUUACAUCCUUUUCUAUAUAUGGGUGUAUUUGUGUACAAGAGAUAAACAAUAAGUAUAAAGGAGUUAUAAAAAUAUAAUGGAAUCUAAAAAUAAUUAAGCACAAGUUACUAAAAUAAAUCCAAAUAAAACACUAUUAUAAGAAGUUCUGAUCCUAAAUAACUGUAUGGCAUAUCAUACAAAUGGUAGCCCAGAACUGGGUGACUUAAGAGAUUAUUUCUGAUUCCUUGUCUGAGAAUAGUACAUUAAAUAGAAAUCACAUUCCCUAUUUGGAAAUUUCUUCAAGACAGGAUAUAUAAAGCUCUGUCUAGAGUCCUUAUAUAGGGAGUUGUACAAUAGCAUAUGGCUUAGAGUUUCUAUUGAACCAUCAUCAUAUGGAUUUAACAAAUCUGGAAAUGGCAGCCUUAUAAAACAGCAGAUAGUUUUAGCUCUCCACUGAAACAAUAAACAUUGAAGGAUAUGAUUGGUUUCUACUGUAAUGUUUAGAACAAUGUUUCUCAACCUGGGUAACUUUAAGAUGUGUGGACUUCAACUCCCAUAUAAAUAUAUCUAAAAACCAGCGGCUGGGGAUACACAUAUACACACACACAUCCCCAGCUGGCUGGUUUUUAUAAUAGCAUUAAACACUUGGGCCAGAUGAUAGAAUCAUGAGUUGCAAGCGGUGUUAAGAAUUCCCAAUUGUCUAUUAAUUGUUUAAACUGUUUUCAUUUUUUUUAAAGGUUAUUCCACCCAGAAUCUCAUUUAUGUGAGUUUGGCUGCCACCUACAUGGUUUGAAGCAUCAAAAUGUAACAGACCAUGGAAUGCCAUAACCCAGCUGGUUUUCAUGCCUAAGGCGGGACUGGAAUUCCCAGUCUCUUGAUGAUUGGUCCAAAGUCACCCAGCCAGCUUUCAUACCUAAGGUGGAACUAGAACUCCCAGUCUUCUGGUUUCCAGGCCAGCACCUUCACCAAUACACCAAACUGGCUUAAAAGAGACUUCAAAUUUGAAGCUUUGGCUCAGGCCCAAAAUGUCUGAGGCAAACAGUAUAUAAACCAUCCUCCUGGAAAACUACUGGGAAUACUGUCUUGGGUAUACAUUCUAAAGGCAGAUCCACAGGUGAACAUUUCAGGGAGGCAGUUCAGAAGGCCCUGGAGUUCUUCCAUGCAUGUCAGCUUUUUGGCCUAAGUCCAAACAUCUUCAGUACAGAUGAAAAUGAGAAGAUCCUGCAGCAGAAAUGCUAGUCCAAUAGGACUUCUGCAUAAACUUGCUGAUUCUUGCCAUUUUUUUUUUUAGGUCCAAAGGUUGAGUUCAGCUCCGCUGUUCUGUAAACGUGUCAGAUUGCACGGAAUUUGGCAGUCUGUAUUCCUGGGGGGGGGGGGGUGUUGAGCAAAGGCGGUGGUGGAAAGUCACACUGGGGAGUGCAGUUAGAGGCAAAUGGUUCCAUCCCUGUGAAAGGAGCCUCCCAGUUGGCUGUCGCCACUUUCCCUUCAAAGAAAGGGAUGGUUCUGUAGUCUUUCAGGUGAAAAUGGAAAUCACCAUUUGAGAAACAUGGCUUGGACAGAUUAAUCUGCCUCAUAGAAGAGGGGGUCAAUCUAUUCUCCAAAGCACUUGAAGGCAGGACAAGAAACAAUGGAUAGAAACUAAGAAGAACUAAGAACUAGAACUAAGGAGAAAUUUCCUGACAGAACAA